rfam:Pestalotiopsis fici W106-1 unplaced genomic scaffold PFICI_Scf_2, whole genome shotgun sequence.
GCCCGCUUGGCAUAGUGGUAUUGCGUCGCACUUGUAACCCCAGUUGGUAUAUGCGACAUGCGAAAGUCGGCGGUUCAAUUCCGCCAGUGGGCA